GGAUGUAAGGAUGAUCUGGCUGCUUCAUCUGUCACCCCAUUGAUUGCAGGGUUGAUCUGGCUAAUCUAGCUGGCCUAGGCAGGUGUCCCCCUUCCUCCCUCACUGCUCCAUGUGUGUCCCUCUGGAAGCUGAGCACUGUUGAAGACGAUGACUAUCCCUGAUAGAGGAGGACCGGUCUUUGGUCAAGGGUAUACGAGUAGCUGAUCUCCCUCAAAAUCUCCGAACAAAUUCUCAGAAUUAGUGCAAAGUCUGAUGUCAACUCUUCUGGUCUUUCUCGAGUUUUUACAGCCUUCAAACCCAGCUCUUCAUUCUGCUUUAAUUUAUCUAGGAUAUAAAGUAAAUUUUA
rnacentral:sRNA from 1 species